rnacentral:rRNA from 1 species
UACGUAGGGUGCAAGCGUUGUCCGGAAUUAUUGGGCGUAAAGAGCUCGUAGGCGGUUUGUCGCGUCUGCUGUGAAAUCCCAGGGCUUAACCCUGGGCCUGCAGUGGGUACGGGCAAACUAGAGUGCGGUAGGGGAGAUCGGAAUUCCUGGUGUAGCGGUGAAAUGCGCAGAUAUCAGGAGGAACACCAGUGGCGAAGGCGGCUUUCUGGCCUGUUCUUGACGCUGAGGCGCGAAAGCCAGGGGAGCAAACGGG